rnacentral:rRNA from 1 species
UACGUAGGGGGCGAGCGUUGUUCGGAUUUACUGGGCGUAAAGGGCGCGCAGGCGGCUCAUUUUGUCAGGCGUGAAAGCCCCGGGCUUAACCUGGGAACUGCGUUUGAUACGGAUGGGCUAGAGUUCGGGAGAGGAGGGUGGAAUUCCCAGUGUAGAGGUGAAAUUCGUAGAUAUUGGGAAGAACACCGGUGGCGAAGGCGGCUCUCUGGACCGAGACUGACGCUGAGGCGCGAAAGCGUGGGGAGCAAACAGG